rnacentral:lncRNA from 1 species
CUUUACCAAGUUAGAUCAAGGUGUACUAGAAAUAAGUCAGUCCAACUGAUAAGUCAUCAAUCCUCCCAUUGACUUUACUAAGUCAUGUCGAGGAUAAAGAUAAGUCAAACUAGGGGCACCUAAAUCAGUCGAACUAAUUUUUUAGUAAAUAUGGAUCAACCCUAAUCAUUAAGCAGUCUAAUCCAAAUUUGAUUCACCAUAUUGGUCAGGUAAGUG